CCCCUUCCUGCUUUGCUUGCUUAACAAUAUUACAGAUACGUCUCCUGUCUCUGUGAGCAGUAGCUCCAGGAAGACACCUCACAAGACCACCAUUGUCCAUCUCCACCCCUCUUAUGAUGGAAUCCCCCAACAACAACUGCUUUCUAUUAGGCCUCCCCAUAGUCUCCAAGCCGGUCUCCACAACACCACUAGCCUCAGUGCCUCUCUCCACAAAACCACUAGCC